rnacentral:tRNA from 1 species
GGCCCUGUAGUUCAACGGAUAGAACGGAAGUUUCCUAAACUUUAAAUACAGGUUCGAUUCCUGUCGGGGCUACCC